rnacentral:rRNA from 1 species
UGCGUAGGGGGCAAGCGUUGUCCGGAAUCAUUGGGCGUAAAGCGCGUGUAGGCGGCUCGGUAAGUCCGCUCUGAAAGUCCGGGGCUCAACCCCGGGAGGCGGGUGGAUACUGUCGAGCUCGAGUCCGGAAGAGGCGAGUGGAAUUCCUGGUGUAGCGGUGAAAUGCGCAGAUAUCAGGAGGAACACCGAUGGCGAAGGCAGCUCGCUGGGACGUGACUGACGCUGAGACGCGAAAGCGUGGGGAGCAAACAGG